rnacentral:rRNA from 1 species
CAGCGGGUAGUCCCCGCCCAGAUUUCAACUCGAUGAAAAAAAUCGAUUGCUUUUUUUUGGGGUUGGGAAACUUAUCACUUUCCUGUGGAACGAAAUACAAAGAGGGGGGGCACUGCAAGGGACAUGGGGUGAACAAAGGUAAACCUUUGUCAUCCUUUGGAGGCUAUCAUUACGGAGUUAACUUUGGAAAGUAAAAAAAAACGUAACAAGGUUUCCGUAGGUGAACCUGCGGAAGGAUCAUUACCGAGUUGAUUCGAGCUCCGGCUCGACUCUCCCACCCUUUGUUUACCUACCUCUGUUGCUUUGGCGGUGCCGCCUUCGGGCGCCCGCCAGAGGACUUCAAAACUCCAGUCAGUGAACGUCUCAGUCUGAAAAACAAGUUAAUAAACUAAAACUUUCAACAACGGAUCUCUUGGUUCUGGCAUCGAUGAAGAACGCAGCGAAAUGCGAUAAGUAAUGUGAAUUGCAGAAUUCAGUGAAUCAUCGAAUCUUUGAACGCACAUUGCGCCCCUUGGUAUUCCGGGGGGCAUGCCUGUUCGAGCGUCAUUUCAACCCUCAAGCUCUGCUUGGUAUUGGGCUCCGUCCUCCUCGGACGCGCCUCAAAGACCUACGGCGGUGGCGUCUUGCCUCAAGCGUAGUAGAAACACCUUCGCUUUGGAGUGCAUGGCGUCGCCCGCCCGGACGAAACCUUUUUUGUAUUUCUCAAAGGUUGACCUCGGAUCAGGUAGGGAUACCCGCUGAACUUAAGCAUAUCAAUAAGCGGAGGAACUGAAAUGUUGAAAAUGGAAUCAGGUAUGAAUACCCCGCCGAACUUACUCAUAUCAUUAUCGUUCGAAGGAAACGUGGUUCCUA